AGACGUGGCCGACGCGGGUCAAAGCGUAAUAUCAUUUCUUAUCAGCAUAAUAUCGGAAACAGGUUCUAUUUGGACUCGUGAUAUUACAGUUAGUUUUUGGAAUUUGGCGGAGCGCUUAAAGCCUGUUUCACCUCUGCCGCGGCUCGGCCCGGUAGUUCACUAUCUUCUGGAUCGGCCUCGGUAUC